CCCCAAUGGGUUCUCCGGAUUUCUGGAGACUUGUAGGGGUUGUGGGAUUUUUGAUGUGUCGUCUCCGGACGGGCGGUGCAGGGUAGUCGAGUUAGACUUGGUGGAAUUCCGUCGAUAGGAAUUGCGUCGAGUCUGGUCGGCUGUGUGUUGGACGGUGCAGGGUAGGCUGCUUGGACAUGGUCGGUUCGAGGAUCGAUUCGAGGGCCGGCCUGUCGAUGAUGCGUGAAGUAUGCGGUCUAGGGUAGGCUGGUUUGUCUUGGUUUAAUUUGAUGUCGGCUCCCGUGCAGGCCAUAGUGAGGGGGGUCCAGGGUAGGUACAGGGUAGGCAGCUUAGAUUUGGUCGAUCUGGAGGUCGAUUCUCCGGCUGGCGGAUCUGACACUGUCGAAACGAGAUGCGAGCGGUGUAGGGUAGGCUAGUUUCGUCCUCGCCAGGUUGCGAUUUGGACGAGAUAUGUAGUUUAGUGUAUGCUCUAGGGUAAGUAGAAUUCGAGUUUCGUCGCCGACAGUUUUCUGUGGGUGUAUGGUAGGUGCAGGGUAGGCAAAUCUCUCUCCGGCCAGUACUUGUCUGGUGGUCGUGAGUCGAUUUUUUUGUUUUGCCAUACUAUUGAAUUUUGCGGAAAUUCAAAAGUGGCUCGGGAGUCCCGCCUGGCGUGCGUCCGACUCGAACAUCGUCGGUGUACAUAUGAGAGGGAGUAAUCCGGCCCGGCCGGGGCCCAUCGCGAGCUGCCGGGUAGGUAAAAGUAAAAAAGUUGUUAAGAGGCGCGGUGUCGGCGUGCUUGUAUUUGCGGGAGAGAAUUAUCUGGGGGGUGCUGGGUAGCCGGGAAGACUUGGACGGAUCUGGCCCGGGAAUGGGUCUGGGCCUGGAUUCUGGUGUGGUGUAGGGUAGGCGUAGAUAGAUGAGUGGUCUAGGGUAGAUACAGGGUAGCCAGAAGUCUGGUAUAUAGUAUGGGGGUGUAGGGUAGGUCUGGACACCGUUUUCCACUUCGCCCUUCCCUUUCGUCGAGGGAGGACGAUCUUGGCUGGGACGGAGGUGUAGGGUAGGCUUAAUUUACGAUUACAUGAUCUGUGUCACUCUAGGGUAGGUGAAAAUCCCAUAUAUAUCUGAUCACAUUUGGUGAAGAGGUGGUUUGGCUGGUGAGAUGGACAAAAGUGCAACGUAGAAUUAUAUGUGAUUUUGCAAAAGUGGGUGUGAAAUUGGAAAGUCGGUUUUCCCGCACAGAUGAGAGCACGUUUGAGGUGCCAUGAGAUGCACCUCUCCGAGACGACCUCAACGGUACCACCCAUGUGUUGGUCGGGCUCCUGUGCGGCCGUCCAGGGCGGGAUAAGUAGAGAAUGUGGUGGUGUAGGGUAGGUGACCAGGUCCAGGGUAGGUUCGCCAAAUCCGUCAAUCCGGCUUGAAUCGAAGGACAGGUCUAGGGUAGGCAACCCUCACCCUCGAAGUGGUCUACCCGGUAGCCAACUUCAAUCGCCUCUCACGGCCGCCACGGACCUCGAAUGACGACGGGACUACCACCAUCGGAUUCGCCUUGGUCGAAAUAGCUGGUAUAUGCACUUUUGAAAAAAUGCGUGCAAAAUGGUUUUGUGGUUUGGUGGCCGUGAGUCGAUUUUUUUGUUUUCCCAUACAAAUGAAUUCUGCGGAAAAUAAAAAGUGGCCCACGAGGCAGUCCUGGCGUGCGGCCCACUAAAACGGUCUCGGAGGGUAUAUGAGAAGGGAGCAAAUCCGGCCGAGCCUGAAAGGGUGAGGACAAACCGGUAGAGCAACCUCUCAGUAUCAGAUCGGGCAGACUUCCACUGCGUGUCCCUCUGUACAGCUUUGCAGGCUCCGGCCUCGGCAGCGGGGGGUUCAUAGUGGUCGUCGACCUCCACGAAACUGCACGCUCCGGCGUGACAGCAAAGCAGUGG
rnacentral:misc_RNA from 1 species